rnacentral:rRNA from 1 species
CCACCUGUGGCGAAGGCGCUCGGCUGGAACGGGUCCGACGGUGAGGGACGAAGGCCUGGGGAGCGAACCGGAUUAGAUACCGGGUAGUCCAGGCUGUAAACGAUGCGGGCUAGGUGUCACCGGAGCUACGAGCUCCGGUGGUGCCGGAGGGAAGCCGUUAAGCCCGCCGCCUGGGAAGUACGGCCGCAAGGCUGAAACUUAAAGGAAUUGGCGGGAGAGCACAGCAACGGGAGGAGCGUGCGGUUUAAUUGGAUUCAACGCCGGAAAACUCACCAGGGGCGACUGUUACAUGAAGGCCAAGCUGAUGACUUUGCCUGAUUUUCAGAGAGGUGGUGCAUGGCCGCCGUCAGUUCGUACCGUGAGGCGUUCUCUUAAGUGAGAUAACGAACGAGACCCUCGCCCCUAUUUGCCAUCCUUCUCUUCGGAGAUGGAGCACUAUAGAGGGACCGCUGGCGCUAAGUCAGAGGAAGGAGAGGUCAACGGUAGGUCAGUAUGCCCCGAAUCUCCUGGGCCACACGCGCGCUACAAAGGACGGGACAAUGGGCUGCAACACCGAGAGGUGAAGCCAAUCCCGAAACCCGUUCGUAGUCCGGACUGUGGGUUGUAAUUCACCCUCACGAAGCUGGAUUCCGUAGUAAUCGCGGAUCAAC